rnacentral:misc_RNA from 1 species
AAGUCGUAACAAGGUUUCCGUAGGUGAACCUGCGGAAGGAUCAUUAACGAGUUCCGGGUUCCCGCAAGGGGCCCGACCUCCCACCCUCUGUUCGUCGCGAAUACGUUGCCUCGGCGGGACCGCCGGCGAUCACCCCCUCCGCGAGGAGAAGGCCGCCGGCGACCGGGCUUCACGGCCCGGGCAGCUGCCCGCCGCAGGACAAACUCAACUCUGCUUUGAACUUUACAGUCCGAGCGAUUAUUUUAAAUCAAUUAAAA